UCGUUGUACAUGUCGCAAAGCAAAAUAUUGACCUACUGUGCGUGCGUUACCGUUUCCAUGGUAACUUGGACGCGAAAAGAGUUGAAAGCUGACAGAUAUCCCACCAAGAGAAAAUGCCACCCAAGGAUGCAAAGUCUGCCCAAAAGAAAGGAGGCAAGCUCAGUAAGGCUGAAAAGGAGCAACUUCAGAAAGAGGAGGAUGAGAGAAGACAGAAGGAAGAUGAGGAGGCUCGACUCCUGGCUGAGAAAGAGGAGCAAGAGAGGCUGGAGAGAGAGAGAAAGGAGCAGGAGGAGCAUCAGAAACUGGAACUAAAGGACAAAGAUCGCAGAGAGGAUGAGCUGAAUGAACUGCGUCAUCUAGUGGAAGAGAACCAGACUGCAGUCACCAAGUGGGAGACUGACUCCAGAGCGAAAGCCAAGUGGGACAGGUACAUGUGUUGUGACGGGAGUCCAGAUCCGUCAGUCCAGCAGGAGAUCAACACCUUCAUCAACCUGUGGUGCGAGGACCCAGAGGUCCAGAUCAAACCGAUUCUAAAGGAGUGUGCCCUGGCGCUACGGCUGUUAGAGGAGCUGGAGGGUAUGCUGAGGGACGAGCCUGAACCAGCUGAUGCCCUGAGGUACCAGGAGACCCUGCUCUCCAUCCAGACUCUCAUCCAAUCCAAACUUGACCACAGCACUGAGGAGAUACUCAAGUGGGCCAAUGCUCACUCAGACAUUGAGACGGGGAACAUGCAGACAGUGGUCCAGGAUGACAUCAUCACACUGUGUCUGUGGGCCAACCUUAACAAGAACCCAAGGUUUAAAGGGUUCCAGUUCGAGGAGGUGGGACUGGGCUUUGAGCUGCCCAAACAGCUGGCAGUCAGUGACGUCGCUGUGAGAAUCCUCCACACCCACUACGACCACUUGUCUCACCUGGCUAACCUGAAAAGCCAGAACCCCAGCAGGAUGUCCCUGGGCCUGGGGACCAGGGAGGAACCCCUUCUGGAGGGAGCGACCCCCGUGGGGGAGUGUGGGGAGACGGAGGGAGAUGGUGACAGGAGAGGGAGCACACAGCAGGAAGGUGCAGAAGAAGAGGUGCAGUCUGUCAGAGGGUCUGAAGGCAGGAAGAGUGCGGUGAGUGUGAUAUCUAUGAAGGAGGAGGGGAGGAGUGGUCAGAAGCAGCUGGAUGAUGCGCAACAGAAGCUGGAGGAGAAUGGGAGUCAGAUAGAUACAAUGUUAGAGGGAGAUGACUCAGGUGAGGGAGACUCCACCCCUACCCCAAUGGACCCAGUGAUUGACAGCUAUGAGGGUCAGGUGGUUGACCUUCAACAGUACACACCCCUGGGAGGAGUCUUCUACUGCGAUGUCUUCCGUCUGCCGCCACAGUCCCAACAACUCAAUGGAUGGGAGAUGAGAGAGCUGUUGGACACAGGGCUGCAGCCGUUCCCCUACCCCACAGAGCAGACUCAGAUCCAGGGCUCUGCCUCCAUGAAGCUGGAGGACAGUGGGGUCUUGACCAGUCCCCCUGUAGGGGUCACAGUCACCCUGCCUGACUCUGUCCUAUUCCUGGAGGACCCCCAGGUGGCCCGCUGGGACCCUGAAGGUCAGCACUGGAAGACCGACUGCAUCAGUGAGACGUCAUACGACCAGGCAGAGCGGAAGAUCUCGUUCAAGAUGGACUCAUUCUACGCCUUCACGCUUCUACAGGACUCGUAUGCCAACAUGCCGUUCCAGAGCUGGGAGCUCAGACCACUGGGCCAGGACUCUGCACUGCUCACCAUCACCGCAGCCCUCACUGAAGUCAGCAUCACCAUCAAGGGCAGCAAGUGUAUGCUCCAGUCAGACCAGGAGAGAGGACUGAACCACAUCCUGGGCCAGUGGAUGAGUCCCUCUGAACUGCAGAAAGCCAUGGUCAGCGCCGGGGUCAACAUCUUCGUCAACCAAUACUCCGACAAAUAUGUCAGCGUAAACGCAAAGGACCCUCUGAUAGAACAUGCUGUGUAUGAACAGAUGGCCCUGCUCUCCUCUGCCUUCGCCUUCUCCUGGAGCCAGUGGAACACGCAGUGUGGCCACGAGCGUCUGGUGCUGCAGGUACACUCACACUUAGAGAUGCAUACGGUUUAAACACACUCACGUCCUCACACACACACUCUGAGUCCUUGGAUAGAGGACCUCCCCAGAAAGUAACAGAAGUAGCUUCAGAAUCAGGAACAAGGAAAGAGCUGCAGUGCAUAUAGGGGAAACACUGAGCUGGUUGACUGGACAGACUAGAUUUGGUUGAGAUUCACCUCUAGUACUGACAUUUCCUUGCACAGUACUUUGUCCGUGCAGAUGGACAGGAUAUUCACCCUACUAUUGAUACCUUCUCUCCAAAGUGUGAGAGCACCUAGCAGCCAUCCCAGUGUCGUUGUUGUGUGUGUACAGUAGGAUUAACCUCUCUCCCAGGUGUGUGAGCACCUAGCAGCCAUCCCAGUGUCGUUGUGGUGUGUACAGUAGGAUUAACCUCUCUCCCAGGUGUGUGAGCACCUAGUAGCCAUCCCAGUGUCGUUGUGGUGUGUGUACAGUAGGAUUAACCUCUCUCCCAGGUGUGUGAGCACCUAGACCCGGUCCCGGUCAGAGAUGACUCGUGGUGUGUGUACCUGCUGGGGGC